rnacentral:rRNA from 1 species
AUGGUGGGGUCAUUCUGGUGGAGAGGUAUUCUAAAAACCUUGCCUGCCUUCAAGCUUUAUGCCAUAUGCAAACCAGAAAAGGGAGACACCACUCUGUUUUGGCAUGACAAUUGGUCAGAUAUGUCUCUGCAACAAAAGCUACCUAAACUUUUCUCCUUUGCCAUCAACAAAGAAAUCACCCCGAGACAGAUUCAUGAGCAACAGGAGCUAGAGGUUUGUUUUCACAGACCACUCUCCCAGCAAGCACUCAAUCAAUUAAACCUCCUACAAGACCAACUUCAUAGUAUUAUGCGGACUGAAGAGACAGACCAAUGGGGAUAUAUCUGGGCAUCAACAAAGUACUCAUCAAUGAAGAUGUACAACAACCUCAUUGACAAGACUGAAGCUCACACAAUCUUCAGGCAGUUAUGGAAGUCCAACUGCAGACUUAGACACAAGAUUUUCUUUUGGAUGCUACUAUAUGACAGAGUAGCACAAGGAACCUGCUUCACAGAAGAAAGAUGUACCUACCUGAUUACAACUGUGCACUCUGUUCAGAUGCAAGUCAAGAAACUUUAA